GAGGAUCUGAAAAGACAUCAUGGGAAAAAAUCAGAAGCUCAAAGAGCCAGAUCAAUAAUCAUAUGCAAGAAUCAUGAUAUCACGACUGGGAGUCAGCACAUCUUUAUCAUCCCUAACUUGAACACAGCGAGGCGUUCUGCAACUCUGUAUUUCUCCGUAUGAUCUGCUUACACUCUGGAUAAUCAACUUCUGCUGGAGCUGGCAUGGGAUUUCUGCCCUCUCUGCAUUCCUGGAGGUUGCACAAAGGAAAGACAACCCAGUCUGCAUCGUGCGUGCUCUGGAGCCCCUAAAGCACGGCAGUGCUCAUCCGAGAACCUGCUGGUGCCUUCGCGCAAAGUCCCCCGAGGCAUUAGCAGACUGGUUGGUGAAACACAGGCAUACAAAGGACAUGAGACAGAACAAAGCAGUGUGCCCACCCAACUGUGCAAGAAAACAAUAAGAAACGUACUCGCUUCGGCUACAAAAGUUGCUUUCCGGGUGCUUGCAAAUCCUGCAUUCUCCACACUGAGGGGAAAAGAGUGGAAUGACUUUAUCACCUGGAUGAAGAAAAACAAAAUGACUUAAAUGUCUGUCCAGAAAUCAAUAAAGCAACAACUUGAAGCUUAUUAGAGACAUUGUGUCUUUGAAAAGUCUCCAGGAGAUGAGGCCUCACCCAGGCUAUGUCAGUCUAGUUAGUCAUUCGCAUUUAAAGCGCCUGAAGAUUCCCGGGAGAGAAAAAUGAGCCGAAACCAGCCAUUUCCACCCGUCAGCAGUUAAACUUUGUUGUGUGCCUCAGUUUCUCUUAGGAGCUUUGUACAUAUCCUAAUCAAACCUUGGAUAUGCUUGCUGCUAAGAAGAAAUAUACACUUUCAUUGCAAAUGAGUUGCUAUCUUCCUGUUAGAUUUUGGCGAGAACUGAUAUGAUAGUUUCAAUAAAAGUAAGAUUAAAGAAACAGUAUACAGGCAAUAUUUUAUAAUAAAAAUAAAACAAAUUAAACUUGAUCAUGAAAUCAAAUUAAAGUGGGAAUCUUGAUAGUUAGCUUUUGCCCUUUUAUUAUUUAAGACUUUGUUGUUGGUGUUGGUUUUUUUCUUUUUGUGUGCACGUGAGAGUACCUGUGUGUGUGUGCCAUCUCUGUAUGUGUGCCCUUGGAAGCCAGCAAAGGGUGUUGGGUCCCCAGGAGCUGGAGUUACAAGUGGUUGUGAGUAACCCAGUUGGGUGCUCUAUAAAAGCAUGGCAUGCCCUGAGCCACGUUAUCAUUUCUUCGUGGUCCAGUUUUGGCUUUUUAAGGUGAUUGUGCUUCUCCUACUAUGAAAUAAAGGCUUAAAAAAAUCCUAGUUAUUUUUUGAGGAAGCAUAAUAAAAACAUGACAAGCCACAAAUUGCUUUGGAAAUCUCAGUUCUUAAUGAGUUAAAUACUUUCUCUGGGAAAUAACAAGAAACUUUUGUUUUUUAAAGAUAAUUAUUUAUGAAUUAUUGAUUUUUCUGCCAUAGAAGAAGCAACCUGAAGAGUAAAGGUGUCAUUUUGCUGCUAGGUUUGUUGUUAUUGUUGUUGUUUUGUUCUUUUCUGAAUAAAAGAAAUAAUACAAGCUUAAC
ensembl:antisense Gm16559 predicted gene 16559